UACGAAGGGGGCUAGCGUUGCUCGGAAUCACUGGGCGUAAAGGGUGCGUAGGCGGGUCUUUAAGUCAGGGGUGAAAUCCUGGAGCUCAACUCCAGAACUGCCUUUGAUACUGAAGGAUCUUGAGUUCGGGAGAGGUGAGUGGAACUGCGAGUGUAGAGGUGAAAUUCGUAGAUAUUCGCAAGAACACCAGUGGCGGAAGGCGGCUCACUGGCCCGAUACUGACGCUGAGGCACGGAAAGCGAUGGGGAUCAAACAGG
rnacentral:rRNA from 1 species